UACGUAGGGUGCGAGCGUUAAUCGGAAUUACUGGGCGUAAAGCGUGCGCAGGCGGUUAUUUAAGUCAGACGUGAAAGCCCCGGGCUUAACCUGGGAAUGGCGUUUGGGACUGGAUAGCUGGAGUACGGCAGAGGGAGGUGGAAUUCCACGUGUAGCAGUGAAAUGCGUAGAGAUGUGGAGGAACACCGAUGGCGAAGGCAGCCUCCUGGGCCAGUACUGACGCUCAUGCACGAAAGCGUGGGGAGCAAACAGG
rnacentral:rRNA from 1 species